AGACAUGAAUGUCUAAGUCCAAGCUGUGUGUUUGUGGGUGAAAGCUCGCGCACACGGCGAAACCGCGGACGGCUCAUUAAAUCAGUUGUGGUCCGAAUGGGCUAGUGUUAUCUUACUUGGAUAACUGUGGUAAUUCCAGAGCUAAUACAUGCAACUUAUAGUCUUAGUGGCGCGGGCUUCGCGGCUCGCGUUGCGACGACUUCUUUUAUUAGACCAAACCGCUGAGGGAUAGAGAUGGAGUUCUCUCUCUAUCUGUCCCGUAGACUCGUGUAAUGGUGACUCUGGAUAACCCUCUAUGACAAGCGCACGUAUCCAUUAAUUUGGGACGGCGCUUCCUCUUACGAGUGUCUGCCUUAUCAGCUAUGUAUCGUUCGUUAUGCGCUAACGAUGGCGUUGACGGGUAACGGGGAAUCAGUGUUCGAUUCCGGAGAGGCAGCCUGAGAAACGGCUACCACGUCCAAGGACGGCAGCAGGCACGCAAAUUACCCAAUUCCAGCUACUUGGGGAGGUAGUGACGGAAUCUAACGAUGCGGGCGCUCCAUCUGGGGCCCCGCAAUCGGAAUGAGCAUUUUCUUUCUAAACACCCUGUUGAGAACCCACUGAAGGGCAAGUCUGGUGCCAGCAGCCGCGGUAAUUCCAGCUUCAGCAGCAUCUAUUAAAGUUGCUGCGGUUAAAAGGCUCGCAGUUGAAUGUCAGUACACAGCGUAGCGAUGGUGGACGUUGGGGUGUGGGAGAGUUCUCUCGUUGUGCGGCGGUGUGCAUAUUCGUUCGCUUCGGCGUUCGUUUGCCAUUACUGAGUUGCUUUCGAGUGUGUUCUCUCUCCAUCCAUAGCCCCCGUCCGUAAACAGCCUCCUCGCUUGCGUACAAAAUGGAAUCUGAUCGUUUUUCAGAGUCAUACGGCUUGGUUACUGUUCAGCUUGCUAUACCAGCGCAAGCUGGUACGCUUCUGAUAUGGUGAUUGAGUCUGUGGCUCACAGAACUUGGUUCCAAGGUUACCUUGAGUAAAUUGGAGUGCUCAAAGCAGUCGUAAGGAACGUGCGGCUCGCGCCGUGCGUUCUGCGAAGAAUGUCUAUGACAGACAGUCUUGGUUUUGCAUGGUAUGUCGAAAGACGCCGUAUCCUGUUGGUAACGAGUCUAGUGCGGGCUUGCACUUGAGGAGGGGAGAGAAGAGUUAGUUUUAUCGCUGGCUCUUUUUCUAUCUCUGUCUCCAAUAGUGUGACACACGGGACCAACAGGUGCGGAAUGAUUAAAAGGGUCGGUCGAAGGCAACGGUAUUGCGAGGCGAGAGGUGAAAUUCUAUGACCCCCGCAAGACCUCCUGAAGCGAAAGCGUCUGCCAAGGACGUUGGAGCCUGCGGCUUAUUUGACUCAACACGGGCCAUCUCACCAGGCCAGCACUCUUGUAUGAUUGACAGAUUGAUAGUUCUUUCUCGAUUAAGUGGAUGGUGGUGCAUGGCCGUUCUUAGUUGGUGGAGUGAUCUGUCUGGUUAAUUCCGAUAACGAACGAGACUCUCCCCUGCUAACUAGUCGGUUGGAUCUUGCGUCUGGAGAGUUGUGUCUUCACUCGCUCGUGCCCACGUUUAUGUUAGCCUUGGUGCGCUGCAGCUUGUGUGUGCUUGUGUAGUUUAAUCGCUGCGCUCGCGUGCCCCUGUCUCUGGUGUGCUCUCGGUGAGCUUGCGUGUGGUGUCGUUGUUUGUGUAACACACUCCAAGUCCGCCGCUUAUUCAAGGUAUGCAAUGCUUAACGGUAAAGUUAUAUGUGAGUAAAACUCUUCUUAGAGGGAUUCACGGUUCUGAAACCGUAAGAAACUGAGAGCAAUAACAGGUCUGUGAUGCCCUUAGAUGUUCUGGGCCGCACGCGCGCUACAAUGCCGGGUUCAACAGGUAUAUAUCCUUCUCCGAGAGGAGUGGGUAAUCCUUUGAAAGCCCAUCAAACAAUAUUCAAAGGGAUACACUUGUCAAUGGCUAGUGUAUUCUCUUCCAUAGCUUGCUUGGGCCUGGGGCUUGCAAUUCUUUCCCACAAACGAGGAAUGCCUAGUAGCGGCGGAUCACUGAGUUUGCCGUGACUCAGUCCCUGCCCUUUGUACACACCGCCCGUCGCUACUACCGAUUGGGUGUACCAGUGAGAUCUUUGGACUGGCGAGCCUCGUGCUCUUCAUUGAGCGCGAGUGUGUACGACGGGAAGAGGCUCGAACUGGUGCACUUAGAGGAGUAAAGUCGUAACAGGUUCC
rnacentral:rRNA from 1 species